AGUUUCCUGGUCUAGCGGUUAUGAUUUUCCGUUAACAAAUGCGACUAGCAUUCUGUUCCGGAAAGGUUCUGGGUUCGAUUCCCAGGGAAACUA
rnacentral:tRNA from 1 species